rnacentral:rRNA from 1 species
UACGGAGGGGGCGAGCGUUAUUCGGAAUUAUUGGGCGUAAAGGGCGCGUAGGCGGCUGGGUAAGUCAAAGGUGAAAUCCCUCGGCUCAACUGAGGAACUGCCUUUGAAACUGUCCAGCUCGAGGCCGGGAGGGGGUGGCGGAAUUCCCAGUGUAGCGGUGAAAUGCGCAGAUAUCAGGAGGAACACCAAUAGCGAAGGCAGCUCGCUGGGACGGUACUGACGCUAAGGCGCGAAAGCGUGGGGAGCGAACAGG